GCGACCCCAGGUCAGGCGGGACUACCCGCUGAGU
rnacentral:rRNA from 12 species